rnacentral:rRNA from 1 species
UUUGUCCAGUAGUCAUAUGCUUGUCUCAAAGAUUAAGCCAUGCAUGUCUAAGUACAUGCCUUUACAAGGCGAAACCGCGAAUGGCUCAUUAAAUCAGUUAUGGUUCCUUGGAUCGUACCUUACUACUUGGAUAACUGUGGUAAUUCUAGAGCUAAUACAUGCAGCAGAGCUCCGACCCUCGGGAACGAGCGCUUUUAUUAGACCAAAACCGAUCGGACCUCGUGUCCGUAUCUUGUGGUGACUCUGAAUAACUUUGGGCUGAUCGCACGGGCCCGUCCCGGCGACGUAUCUUUCAAGUGUCUGCCUUAUCAACUUUCGAUGGUAGGUUACGCGCCUACCAUGGUCGUAACGGGUGACGGGGAAUCAGGGUUCGAUUCCGGAGAGGGAGCCUGAGAAACGGCUACCACAUCCAAGGAAGGCAGCAGGCGCGCAAAUUACCCACUCCCAGCUCGGGGAGGUAGUGACGAAAAAUAACAAUACGGGACUCUUAUGAGACCCCGUAAUUGGAAUGAGUACACUCUAAAACCUUUAACGAGGAUCCAUUCGAGGGCAAGUCUGGUGCCAGCAGCCGCGGUAACCCCAGCUCGAAUAGCGUAUAUUAAAGUUGUUGCGGUUAAAAAGCUCGUAGUUGGAUCUCAGUUCCAGACGGGUGGUCCGCCUACCGGUGGUCACUGCCCGUUCUGAACAGCCAGCCGGUUUCUCUUGAUGAUCUUGAUCGGUUGUCUUGGGUGACCGGCAAGUUUACUUUGAAAAAAUUAGAGUGCUCAAAGCAGGCGUGACGCCUGAAUAAUGGUGCAUGGAAUAAUGGAAUAGGACCUCGGUUCUAUUUUGUUGGUUUUCUGAACACGAGGUAAUGAUUAAGAGGGACAGACGGGGGCAUUCGUACUGCGGCGCUAGAGGUGAAAUUC